CAUGGCAAGGAUCCAUGUUAAAAAUGGGGAUCUCUCAGAGGCAGCAAUGUGCUAUGUCCACGUGACAGCUUUGGUAGCGGAAUAUCUCACACGGAAAGGUAAGGACACGCUUGAGCCUUGGGAUGCAAGGGACCGCACUGCAUGCACCGUUGGCAUCUUAGUCCCGGUCGCAGCCCUUAACUGCCCUCGUGGGCAAAGUCCCAGCCCCAGUGUCACGGAGAGGAUGGCCCGUUGUUCUAGCUCGUACUGCUCGGCAGAAAUUGGCUAAUAAGCUUACCUCUGGCUGCAUCUGACCAGCUAACACAAGCUGAAAGACUUUACUUCCCCUUAAGAUAUUUUCCCACUGGAACUGCUUAUCCAUCAGUGACAGUUCUAUGGGGAAGUUGUUGGAUGGAGUUUCUGGAAUGUAACUCUGCUGACUAAAUUUAUUAUGGGAUUUAGGCGGCC
rnacentral:lncRNA from 1 species